AGUGAACGCUGGCGGUAUGCCUAACACAUGCAAGUCGAACGGCAGCACAGUUACUGCUUGCUCUUACCGGGUGCGAGUGGCGGACGUGUGAGGUAUACAACGUGCUCUACUUUUUCGUGUGGGCUAGCGUAGGUAGACUUACGCUAAUACCGCAUACUGCCUACGGUGGAAAGCAGGAGAGCUUCUGACCUUGCGCGAAUGAAUGAGCCUAUGACGGAUUUGCUAGUUUGGUGGGUAAAGGCCCCCCAAGGCGGCGAUCGGUAGCUGGUCUCGGAGGAUGAUCAGCCACACUAGAACGGAGACACGGUCCAGACUACUACGGGAGGGAGCAGUGGGGAAUAUUGGACAAUAGUCGCAAGCAUGAUCCAGCCAUACCGCGUCGGUGAAGAAGGCCUUGGGGUUGUAAAGCCCUUUUGUUGGGAAAGAAAAGCAGCAGGUUAAUACCACGCUGUUGUGACGGUACCCAAAGAAUAAGCACCGGCUAACUUCGUG
rnacentral:rRNA from 1 species